UGCGCAGGCGGAAUGAUAAGUCAGUGGUGAAAUCCUACAGCUCAACUGUAGAACUGCCAUUGAUACUGCCAUUCUUGAGUACAGUGGAAGUGGGCGGAAUGUAUCAUGUAGCGGUGAAAUGCAUAGAUAUGAUACAGAACACCGAUAGCGAAAGCAGCUCACUAUACUGUAACUGACGCUCAGGCACGAAAGCGUGGGGAGCAAACAGGAUUAGAUACCCUGGUAGUC
rnacentral:rRNA from 1 species